GAUCAGUGGCUCAGGACGAACGCUGGCGGUGUGCUUCACACAUGCAAGUCGAACGAGGUAGCAAUACCUAGUGGCGGACGGGUGAGUAACGCGUGGGAAUCUGCCUUUAGAUGGGGGAUAACGGGUCGAAAGACUCGCUAAUACCGCAUAUGACGAAAGUUGAAAGGAGUAAUCCGUCUAAAGAUGAGCCCGCGUCCGAUUAGCUAGUUGGUAGAGUAAAAGCCUACCAAGGCGACGAUCGGUAGCUGGUCUGAGAGGAUGAUCAGCCACAAUGGGACUGAGACACGGCCCAUACUCCUACGGGAGGCAGCAGUGGGGAAUUUUACGCAAUGGGCGAAAGCCUGACGUAGCGACACCGCGUGAGCGAAGAAGCCCCUUGGGGUGUAAAGCUCUGUCAGCUGGAACGAAAAAAUGACGGUACCAGCAGAGGAAGCAUCGGCUAACUACGUG
rnacentral:rRNA from 1 species